CAAGACGUAGCUAUAACACCAAAAGCAUUCAGCUUACACCUGAAAGAUAUCUGCUACCCACCAGAUCGUCUUGA
rnacentral:tRNA from 1 species